ACAUCCUUUUUGAAUUGUGGUGCCCAGAACUGGACACAGUAUUCCAGGAAGGAGUCACUGAUGGUCCAGACAUGGAAAGACCAGAAGGACAACUCAUCCCUCACCAGCUUUUCUUUGCAAGCUGUAAUUAGGGCACCUCAGAAGCUGCAGUAUUUAGUAUUUCCCAAAAAUUUUCCAACCAGCAUCACUAACAUGAAGAAUCCACAAGAAAGCCAGACGUAUAGGGUUUCCCAAGAAAUCGCCACAAGUUGUGCACAUCAAGCUGCCAAAUUCUGAACUGGCUCUUGUAUUUUUAAAAGCCAUUUGAUCUGCAACUUUUGGAAGGUGAUAAUGUAUUUCUCCCUAUCAUAAAAAGCUUCACCAGCUGGUUUCCUACAGAGAAAGCUGCAGUUAAAGGCACAGAAAUAAACGAGACUGAGGCUCUUGGUUUCUACUGACAAUCUGAGGACCUGACCACAGACACCACCUUCUCUGAACCAAAUUCUUAAAACAAAUCAUUUGGAUAUAUGUUACCAUUCAAUUAAUGGAAUGUAUGCCUAAAUGCAAACAAAGCCAUUUUAUGCCAGAUCAGAUUAUUUGUUUGUAUGUAUUCAAGUUUAACUUACAUGAAAAUAUCUCAAAAUAAAUCUUUACAGAU